rnacentral:rRNA from 1 species
UACAGAGGGGGGCAAGCGUUGUUCGGAAUUACUGGGCGUAAAGGGCUCGUAGGUGGCCAACUAAGUCAGACGUGAAAUCCCCAGGCUCAACUUGGGAACUGCGUCUGAUACUGGAUGGCUUGAAUUCGGGAGAGGGGAUGCAGAAUUCCAGGUGUAGCGGUGAAAUGCGUAGAUAUGCGGAGGAACACCAAUGGCGAAGGCAAUCUCCUGGACCUGCACUGACGCUCAUGCACGAAAGCGUGGGGAGCAAACAGG